AAGAACGCCAACCUUUUUAUUCAGCCAAUAACUGAGAUCAACUACCUUUGUCCUUUAUGGUGAUCAAUUUCAUCUUGUAGACAUUCAUGGUCAGUUCACAACUUGAAGUCUUACUAAAACUAAAUCUUUCGAAUAUUAAAAGUUGUUUUACUCAAAAUGGACGUCGAAAUUGAAAUCGUGGUGGCAAAAUUAGCAUAGAGGAGGUCCUGUUUUGCUAAUGAGAUAGAUGCUGAAGUGGAAGAGAUGUGUUGACUGAGUUGGCACUGACAUGCUGUUGACUGGCUGUGGCUAUCUCUGAGUCAGCGUGACAUGUUAAUGAUGUCGGCAGUGCAGACACCAAAAUAAAGCUUGGUGAGGAGCAGGAAAGUGAUCUAAGCUUGGGUGAGUUGUAAGGCUGUUAGUGCUGGUCUAUUGCACUCAAGGGGACGAGAUCUAGACUGACUUAUGCAAUGUUGUCUUAUACUGCUUGGUAGACUUUCUGUUCAUUCACGCGGUGUCUAAGAUAAUGUUAAAUACUACCACGUAGGAAUCCGUACAAGAAGCAGAUAGUGGGGCAUGAUAGUUGUACCCAGAGUUGGACUCAGCCUUUGCAUGAUCAUCACCUUGCUGUUUUGACUUUAUGGUGUCAGUCUCUGGGUUCCACACUUCACUGCUGGACAGUUAUUGACCUCACUAGGAAUCAAAGAGCCAAGGAGUGCAGAACUGAGUUGUGUGAUUGUGUAAAUGUAUGGACUUUUGCAAGCAUGUUCAGGUGUGGAACGUUCUUCAUUGUAACUCUUUGCUGUCAUAAAGUGAAGUCCACAGUUUUCAAAUCCAUGAUGAACUUCAAUAGCAUUGAAAGAAGGGUGUCAUAUUGUCUUGCAACUCUAGAACAGGGGAACACAAAUUGGUCUGAAGGAAAAGACUUAUGUUCCAUAGUCAAUAUGUAAAAUUUAAAAUUCAGAAAAUAAUCAGAGAAUCUAAUAUCAGUAUUGAAGGUUCAUAUAAUCAAAGUUUGAAGAGUUGGAACGAUUAUAAACAAGUUAAAUAGUUUCAAAAAAAAAAAAAAUACUUCUGGAUUCUGGUUUCUUUCUUUCUUCUUUUUUGUUUUCCUAAUUCAAGAGAGUGAUAGUUAAUGUUUAAUAAACCCUAUCUUAAUUGUGUUUAGCUUAGCAACUGCAACUUUAUCAUCAUUAGAAAUUAUGUUGAACUCUUUAGUUUGUAACUAAUGUGAACUCUUCUACAGUGUGAGGAAGUUCUAGAAGAAGCAUAUGUUUCUAGUGCAAGCAAACAGGUUCCAAAUAUUUCUAGGCUAAAGAGAAGCAAGCAGUCAAAGAGAAAGCAUGCUGUAUAAAGACUCUGUACUAAUAUGAUGAUUGUACUGGUGAGUCUGUAUAUCUCAAGAAAAUGUAUUUUUGUUGAUAUAUAUUAUCAUUCUUGCGUUGGUUAAGUCAUUUAAAGAUGAAUUGCAAAUUGUGGAAAUCAUGCCUAAUAAAGCCUCAAGUAUAUGAAGCAUUGCUUGCUGCCAUCUCAUUGUUGAUAAUUCAAGGCAGCAGUAGUUUCAUUGAAUCCUUAACUUGAAUGCAUUAUUAUUGCAAUAGCGAUAAAUGAGAUGGUGUAGGCGUUCAGUCAUGUUUGCAAUCACUAUAUCUGCUAUAGCAGGAACUCUUAUUUAGCAGGUACCUAGUUGUUUGUUUGCUUGUACCCUAAACUUUUAUUUGUCUGCUGGACAUGUUUUGUAUAUACUUUUUCCUAUGAAACAUCCAAUAUUGCUUGGUUUGGUUCUCAGGAAUCACAUAAAAAUGCACAGUGCUUUAUUUGUUGAAAAUGCCUGAGAAAAGUAUUUCUCAGUUGUUUCACUUUGCCUUUUCCGAUCAGUUUACGAGAACAUCGGGCACUGAAGUAACUUAUGAGUGAAAUAUGCCUAUUUCCACUAUCUGAAAGUAAGCAGAUGAAACCCACGACAAUCUCAAAAGGAAGAGAGAGAGAGAGAGAGAGAGAGAGAGGGGAUGCUGGAAAACAGGCUCAAUCCCAAAUGAAAGAAAGAAAGGAAAAAUAGAGAUAAUAAUCAUGCAUUUUUAAACAAUAUUGGUCUCAGAUGUUCGAAUCUUCAAAUAAGUUUCAUUUUUGUACAAGCAUAAAACCUCAGGGAUCAGGGUUUUCCAACCUAAAUGAAUACAUCUGACCUACUGUAGAUUUUUGUCUACUAGUGCUGAAGAAGUGAAUCCAUUGACUCAGUGCUUAGUUGGUGGGUUGUGAUUGCCUACUGGAUUUGGCCCAGAUGGAGCUUUGUGAACUUUCUUCUCUGCAACCUGUACUUAUGUCAUUGAACAGAUGUAAGUGUAGUUAAGCAAUUCAAUCGCCUAUAUUAAGAGUAUUCAAAAUGUUUUUCGGAUUCAGAUAGAUUAAAUUCCUUACCCAAGAUGGCCAGAUAUUUGCCUUGUGUGACCUUAAGCUUGGUUGUGCAGGCUUGCCUUUGAAAUGAGCUAUAGUAGCAAGAGAAAAGACAGGAUCCACUGUCAGAACUUGUGAGGAUUCUGGUGAGACUAUAUUUCCCCAUGUACAUGGCAUAUUAUUCAGUCAAGAACUUAGUUUAUUAAUGUUGAUUUGUUAUGUAGUAGGUUGCAUUAUACUUAUCUGCAGAAUAUUUAAAAACAAUAAUAGAAAGAUAAAAGGAUGUUACAUGCCUGAUUCAAUGGCUUGAACCUUGCUAUGGUUGCAGAAAUCGUGGAGAGAAGCCACAAGCAGCAGCCAUGUUAGUAGCAGAUGGAUGAGAAGCUGCCUGCUCAUCCUGGGCAUGAGAUGGGUCAUAUUAAGUAAACAGAGAAACUCUUACUUCUAUGGUGGCUUAUACAAGUUUGAAGCAUAUUUUUAUGUGAUAUUUGUUUGAUGGUCAUGGAAAAACUUGAAUAUAAUGUGAGAAUUGUUUGUUAAAGGUGCUUGGGAAUCCUAGGCCAUUAUUUUUGCUGAAUUGAUAAAGAUUAUGAAUCUG
rnacentral:lncRNA from 1 species